GAUGAACGCUGGCGGCGUGCCUAACACAUGCAAGUCGAACGGAGUCCAGCCUUUAAGACCUUCGGGUCAAAGAGGGGAAGCCUGAGUGGCGGACGGGUGAGUAACACGUGGGCAACCUGGCUCAUAGAGGGGGAUAACAGAGAGAAAUUUCUGCUAAUACCGCAUAAGCACACACUGCCGCAUGGCAGCGGGAGAAAAGAGAAUCGCUAUGAGAUGGACCCGCGUCUGAUUAGCCAGUUGGCAGGGUAAGAGCCUACCAAAGCGACGAUCAGUAGCCGAUCUGAGAGGAUGAACGGCCACAUUGGGACUGAGACACGGCCCAGACUCCUACGGGAGGCAGCAGUGGGGGAUAUUGCACAAUGGGGGGAACCAUGAUGCAGCGACGCCGCGUGAGUGAAGAAGUAUUUCGGUAUGUAAAGCUCUAUCAGCAGGGAAGAUAAUGACAGUACCUGAAUAAGAAGCCCCGGCUAACUACGUG
rnacentral:rRNA from 1 species